UCCUUUUUCCUGCUUUUGUACAGUCUUCCCAUAUUCAAUAACAAUUUUCUGUCCUAUUAGCUCACUUGCAACUCCCUCGUCUAGAGAGAUAGCUCCACAGUUAAACUCUCAUCUUUUAAAACCAUCAUGUACUAAGAUCUUUUGCCCUCCUUUGUUCUUUUGGUGUUUAAAAGCUCCUGUUGUGUUAUUGGAUGUAGCCUGUUACUCUUUGUAGAUGAUGAAGGUGUAGAAACGUACUGCAUAUAAAAUGAAAACACUCAAUGAGGCCAAAGUUAAUGUGUUUCAGAAGAUCUGAAAGGAUUUAGGAGGACAAGAUUUAUUAAAAGUCAGAAGUUCAUAGUGCUGGGCUACCCACAUAGAUACCUUGUGUUAUUACAGCUUCACUUUUUGGUAGAGUAAGUUCUCAGCUACAAAACAUUUAUUUUAUUUACAAAAUAUUUUUCAACAUUACUACCACCAUUAGCUAUGCAUUUUUACCAGCCAACAUGAAAUAGGAGACGUUACUUUCUGAACAGCUUUCAUAGCAUUUUUCACCCUUCUGUAACAAGAAUUCAAAGAGAAACAUCAACUUUAUUUCACGUACACAUUAACCUUACACAGUCUGUUGCAGCCCAGAUGAUGCAAACGAUAGAUGCCUCCUGUUUUCUGAAAUUGGUUUGCAGCCUCUGGAUUACUUCUGUGGUAAGACUGCUGUCCCAGAAUGGUUCACAGAAUCCUUUUAGAGACUGGAUAAGCUUGUAUUAAUUUCCUCCAAGCCUUUUUUGUGAAUUAAGCCUGACACAAUCGGAGCUGCUCCCUUUUGAUCAUAUGUUCUGGACAAGGAUUGUAGUUCAUUUACUAUUUCUCAAGUGACCAUGUCAAAGUACAUUAUAGAGCAUGAUACUGGAGGAGGUGUUUCUACUAUCUGCACCAAAGCAGACAUACUUGCAAAUUCAUGAGCUCUUUUUGAAAUUCAUGAGCCAUUCUCUGCCUAGUUUUUCAUUUUGUUUUCAACAAUAGAAUAUUCAGAUUAUAUCUUUUUCUUUUCUGAGUGCACAUUACUGCAACUUCUAUUAAAUAUUAAAUAAAUAAUAAGAAUAAAAUGUGCAUAUAAAUACAAAGUAGAAAAAAACCAUGCAUGAAUUAUAGUACUGAUCCUUAGCCACAAUCCUCCUUUAUUCAAUGCAUUUCCAGCUGAAAUCAUAUUAUAUACACAUUUUUUAUUUAUUUUCUCAGUUUCCACUUAGCUGAUAUUUUUUGCUGUUAUUUAUACUAAAUUAUCCUUCUCUGUGGUAGAUUCCAUUGAUAAAGUACUUGUUUGUGCUAAUACUGUGACUGUGCAGAGACAAAGGAAUUGUACCUGACUAUGACUGCAUAAAGAUUUGUUGGUUUCAUUUAAAUGUUUACUGAGUAAACAUAAGAGAUGACAAAUAUACAGGGAAAAAAAAGUGAAAAAUGGGAUUGCUUGCUUCUUUAUAACCCAGCAUUAAAUAAGUACAUCCACAUAAUAUUAAAGAAAAACACAAUGAACAAGUCAUCUACAGUCCCCCAUAUCCCAACAGCUUUGAAGAUUGAUUUCCAGAGCAAAGUGAUAUUCAUUGCUCCACGGAAACCUUACUGAAAUUUCUGUUGACCUGGCAGUUUUUUGGUGGAAUUCUGGCUAUUGGGAAACCUUUUGUUGAGAUGGCUGUGCAAGUUCUGGAAACUGAAGCUCCAGCAAUAAUAACAGCCAAGAACACUGUUGCUUUGUGAAUAGGCAAAGAUGUAGGUGAACUUUCCGACUAGUUCUGCCCCAACCCUAUCUGUGAUCAGGCCAGUCAGUCUCACCUCCAUGCCUGGCAAGGUCAUGGAGCAGAUCCUCCUGAAGGCACAUGGCAAAAAAAGAUGAGGUGGUGGAAGGUAACCAACAUGGCUUCUCCAAGGGCAAGUCAUGCCUGGCAAAAUUGGAGGCCUUUUAUGAUGGAGUUAUGGCACCAGUGGAUAAAAGAAAAGCGAUUGAUGUCAUCUACCUGGAUUUGUACAAAGUGCAAUUUGACACUGUCUCACAUGACAUCCUAGUCACUAGAUUGGAGAAAAAUGGAUUUGAUGGAUGGACCACUCUAUGAAUAAGGAAUUGGCUGGAUGGUUGCACUCAGAGAGCUGUGGUCAAUGGCUCAUUGUCCAAGUGGAAACUGGUGAUCAAUGUUGGGACCAGUGUUAUUUAACAUCUUUGUAAGUGACAUGGACAGUGAGAUCGAGUGCACUCUCAGCAAGUUUACAGACAACACCAAGCUGAGUGGUGAAGCUGACGGUCUAGAGGGAAGGGACUCUAUCCAGUGGGACAUGGACAGGCUUGAUUGAUGGGCCCAUGCCAAGCUCAUGAAUUUCAACAAGACCAAGGGCAAGGUGUCUUGCUCCAAUUUAUAGGAGGAAGAGGAGGUUCUUUGAUAAUUCUGUCUCAUUGAAACAUAGCUCAUACUUUUCUGAAAGCAAGACAACCUUUGUAGACAACAAAACAAGACUUCAGUUAAAAGCAAUUGAGACCUGUAUAUAACCAUGCCUAAGCUGCUGAAGUUUCCGCUGUAUUUUCUGCCAAAGUUCAUCUUCUGCCAUUCAGAGUAAUUCUUAUAGCACCUGCAAAAAAAAAUACUACAAGGACUGUUGCAGUCCCUUUACAGAAGUGAGCAAAACUCCUUUUAAGGACUAUGGGUCUUUUUCUACGUAUCUCUU
ensembl:lncRNA